rnacentral:rRNA from 1 species
UAGCCUACGGGACGCAGCAGUAGGGAAUUUUCGUCAAUGGGCGCAAGCCUGAACGAGCAAUGCCGCGUGAACGAGGAAGGUCUUCGGAUCGUAAAGUUCUGUUGAAGGGGAAAAAGAGCGGAUAGAUGAAAUGAACUCCGAUUGAUAUUACCCUUCGAGGAAGUCACGGCUAACUACGUGCCAGCAGCCGCGGUAAUACGGAGGUUGCGAGCGUUAUCCGGAAUGAUUGGGCUUAAAGGGUGCGUAGGCGGCCUGCUAAGUCUGGAGUGAAAGGUACGGGCUCAACCGGUACAGGCUCUGGAAAC